rnacentral:tRNA from 1 species
GACGAGGUGGGCCGAGUGGUUAUGGGCGAUGGACUGCUAAUCCAUUGGGGUUUCCCGGCGUGUGAGUUUCGAAUCCAUCCUCGUCG